CGAGGACUCCAAAUUAUUUACAUAUACAUGAGAAAAGAGCAAGUAUCAACUUCAAUUAACGGGGAAAUUGAAAGGUAGAUUGAAAGUCAAGGUCAAUUAUAUUAUUAUUAUUAUUAUUAUUAUUAUUAUUAUUAUUAUUAUUAUUAUUAUUAUUUGUUUUUAUUGUCAUGACCGAUCUUUAUCAAGGAAAUGGGUUAGAAUGAAAUAAGAUUUUAGAACUAGUGAGAAAUUGUUUUAGAACUAGUGAGAAAUUGUGUAAUGUUGAUGAAUGUAAUUGUAACCCAAUGAAUAAAAUUAAUUUAGUUAAAUGUGUUCUUU